GAUGAAGAACGUAGCGAAAUGCGAUAAGUAAUGUGAAUUGCAGAAUUCCGUGAAUCAUCGAAUCUUUGAACGCACAUUGCGCCCUCUGGUAUUCCAUGGGGCAUGCCUGUUCGAGCGUCAUUUGUACCUUCAAGCUCUGCUUGGUGUUGGGUGUUUGUCUCGCCUCUGCGUGUAGACUCGCCUCAAAACAAUUGGCAGCCGGCGUAUUGAUUUCGGAGCGCAGUACAUCUCGCGCUUUGCACUCAUAACGACGACGUCCAAAAGUACAUUUUUACACUCUUGACCUCGGAUCAGGUAGGGAUACCCGCUGAACUUAAGCAUAUCAAUAAGCGGAGGA
rnacentral:misc_RNA from 1 species